AUGGAUGUUUUUGCAGAGAUUGGAUCUAAAGAUCCACACUUCACAUACAGGGUUCAAGCUGCCGGUGAGGGGAGGAUCAAGAAUCUGAUGUGGGCAACUGGGAGCAUCAGGCUGCAGUACAACUUCUUUGACGAUGUCAUAACAUUCGAUACGACUUAUAGGACCAACCUAUAUGACAUGCCUUUCGGGAUUUUUGUUGGGGUGAACAAUCACUUUCAGAGUGUGAUAGGAUACUGGCUGGUGUUCUUGUUCGCGAAGAAACCCAAGAGAGUUUCGAGUGAGUUUUCUCAGAAUUCCUGA
rnacentral:rRNA from 1 species